ACUUGUCACAUAAGACGUGUCCUUUUAUUCGGCCAUAUAUGGAUGUCCUUGGUCCUGGAAAAUAUCAUGGAAAGAAGAGGAAAAGAAAACACCCCAGCUCAACUAUUUCGCCAAUCGCGAUAAUCACCCUUUGUUGCCAUCCAUUACCCACCUGCCCCAUCCGCCAGGAGCUCCUACUUGCGCCCUCGAGCACGUCCUUUCGUUUAAUCCCUAACAAGAAAGGGGCGGUCGGCCAUCCAACCCAACUCACACAAAGUCUGGGAAAUACGGCGAAAGACUGGGAGUGAGGUUGAGAGGUUCGCAGCCAACCAGGCAACUCUCUGGCAAUCUAAUGCCCAAGAUAAAAUUCAAAAUUUAUAAUAUUGCACAGUUUGCCCGAUAUAAAACGUAAACUUAUGGCUUUCGUGGAGUACGUGCCAUAUUUUUCUAUGUGUAUGUGCCCAAGUCUCAGCCACUAUAUAUUUGCCUAUGUCAGUGCCCGCCUGUGUGUGAGAGUCCUGGCUCCUGUUUCUGUGCUACUUCCUUUUUUCUGCCCAACCCUUGCCAGCAAAGAGUCAUGAGCUCGUUAUGCCUGUGAGAUUUCAUUUGUGUGCCAGGGCAACCCCCGAAAACAGUGGUUCAAUAACAAACUUUCCAUAGAAAAUUCAA